GACGAACGCUGGCGGCGUGCCUAACACAUGCAAGUCGAACGGAGCUAAACCAAGUGCUUGCACUUGGAUUAGCUUAGUGGCGAACGGGUGAGUAACGCGUGAGCAACCUGUCCUUCAGAGGGGGAUAACUCUGGGAAACCAGAGCUAAUACCGCGUAAGACCACAGCACCGCCUGGUGCAGAGGUAAAAGGAGCAAUCCGCUGAAGGAGGGGCUCGCGUCCCAUUCGAUAGUUGGGGGUGUAACGGACCACAAAGUCAACGAAGGGUAGCCGGGCUGAGAGGCGGAACGGCCACACUGGGACUGAGACACGGCCCAGACUCCUACGGGAGGCAGCAGUGGGGAAUAUUGGGCAGUGGGGGAAACCCUGACCCAGCAACGCCGCGUGAGGGAAGAAGGUUCUUGGAUUGUAAACCUCUGUCCUUGGGGACGAAGAAAAUGACGGUACCCAGGGAGGAAGCCCCGGCUAACUACGUGCCAGCCGCCGCCGUAAUAC
rnacentral:rRNA from 1 species